ACUUACGGCAACACCGGCCUGAGUACGCCUGAUCUCGUCCGAUCUCGGAAGCUAAGCAGGGUCGGGCCUGGUUAGUACUUGGAUGGGAGACAGCCUGGCAAUACCAGUUGCUGUAAGCU
rnacentral:rRNA from 1 species